rnacentral:tRNA from 1 species
CCCCGGGUGGCUCAGGUGGUAGAGCAUGUGACUCUUGAUCUCAGGGUUGUGAGUUCAAGCCCCACAUUGGGUG